GGGACGUUAGCUCAGUUGGUAGAGCAGUUGACUUUUAAUCAAUUGGUCGCAGGUUCGAAUCCUGCACGACCCACCA
rnacentral:tRNA from 3 species